GAUGAACGCUAGCUACAGGCUUAACACAUGCAAGUCGAGGGGCAUCAGGAAGAAAGCUUGCUUUCUUUGCUGGCGACCGGCGCACGGGUGAGUAACACGUAUCCAACCUGCCCUUUACUCGGGGAUAGCCUUUCGAAAGAAAGAUUAAUACCCGAUGGUAUAAUUAUUCCGCAUGGUUUGAUUAUUAAAGGAUUCCGGUAAAGGAUGGGGAUGCGUUCCAUUAGGUUGUUGGUGAGGUAACGGCUCACCAAGCCUUCGAUGGAUAGGAGUUCUGAGAGGAAGGUCCCCCACAUUGGAACUGAGACACGGUCCAAACUCCUACGGGAGGCAGCAGUGAGGAAUAUUGGUCAAUGGGCGCGAGCCUGAACCAGCCAAGUAGCGUGAAGGAUGACUGCCCUAUGGGUUGUAAACUUCUUUUAUAUUAGAAUAAAGUGCAGUAUGUAUACUGUUUUGUAUGUAUAAUAUGAAUAAGGAUCGGCUAACUCCGUGCCAGCAGCCGCGGUAAUACGGAGGAUCCGAGCGUUAUCCGGAUUUAUUGGGUUUAAAGGGAGCGUAGGUGGACUGGUAAGUCAGUUGUGAAAGUUUGCGGCUCAACCGUAAAAUUGCAGUUGAUACUGUCAGUCUUGAA
rnacentral:rRNA from 1 species